rnacentral:rRNA from 1 species
AAUGGGGGAAACCCUGAUCCAGCCAUUCCGCGUGAGUGAAGAAGGCCUUCGGGUUGUAAAGCUCUUUCAGCAGGAACGAAAGGGCAGGCUUUAAUACAGCCUGCUAAUGACGGUACCUGCAGAAGAAGCACCGGCUAACUACGUGCCAGCAGCCGCGGUAAUACGUAGGGUGCGAGCGUUAAUCGGAAUUACUGGGCGCAAAGCGUGCGCAGGCGGCGGCAUAAGACAGAUGUGAACUCCCCGGGCUCAACCUGGGAACUGCGUUUGUGACUGUGCUGCUAGAGUGUAGCAGAGGGGGGUGGAAUUCCACGUGUAGCAGUGAAAUGCGUAGAGAUGUGGAGGAACACCGAUGGCGAAGGCAGCCCCCUGGGUUAACACUGACGCUCAUGCACGAAAGCGUGGGGAGCAAA